CAGAUUAGGGCCGGGUGGUUAGGCGCUCCUUUUGGGUAGGAGAAGAGUUGCGUUCGAACCGCAAUAAUCUGA